rnacentral:rRNA from 1 species
GAGUUUGAUCCUGGCUCAGGAUGAACGCUGGCGGCGUGCCUAAUACAUGCAAGUCGAACGCUUCACUUCGGUGAAGAGUGGCGAACGGGUGAGUAAUACAUAAGUAACCUGGCAUCUACAGGGGGAUAACUGAUGGAAACGUCAGCUAAGACCGCAUAGGUGUAGAGAUCGCAUGAACUCUAUAUGAAAAGUGCUACGGGACUGGUAGAUGAUGGACUUAUGGCGCAUUAGCUUGUUGGUAGGGUAACGGCCUACCAAGGCGACGAUGCGUAGCCGACCUGAGAGGGUGACCGGCCACACUGGGACUGAGACACGGCCCAGACUCCUACGGGAGGCAGCAGUAGGGAAUUUUCGGCAAUGGGGGAAACCCUGACCGAGCAACGCCGCGUGAAGGAAGAAGUAAUUCGUUAUGUAAACUUCUGUCAUAGAGGAAGAACGGUGGAUAUAGGGAAUGAUAUCCAAGUGACGGUACUCUAUAAGAAAGCCACGGCUAACUACGUGCCAGCAGCCGCGGUAAUACGUAGGUGGCGAGCGUUAUCCGGAAUUAUUGGGCGUAAAGAGGGAGCAGGCGGCACUAAGGGUCUGUGGUGAAAGAUCGAAGCUUAACUUCGGUAAGCCAUGGAAACCGUAGAGCUAGAGUGUGUGAGAGGAUCGUGGAAUUCCAUGUGUAGCGGUGAAAUGCGUAGAUAUAUGGAGGAACACCAGUGGCGAAGGCGACGAUCUGGCGCAUAACUGACGCUCAGUCCCGAAAGCGUGGGGAGCAAAUAGGAUUAGAUACCCUAGUAGUCCACGCCGUAAACGAUGAGUACUAAGUGUUGGGUGUCAAAGCUCAGUGCUGCAGUUAACGCAAUAAGUACUCCGCCUGAGU